AACGCACCUUGCACCUCUUGGUAUUCCGAGGGGUAUGCCUGUUUGAGUGUCAUUAAAUCCUCAAAAGAAAUAGGUCCUCUUUCAAGGGAAAAGGGGGUUGUGUGUCUUUUGGAAUUGGGAUGUGCUGGGCCUAAGGUUCAGCUCUCCUGAAAUGCAUUAAGCAUAGGUAGGCUUCCUCCCCACAUGUGCUUUCUUGGCAUUGAUAAGUUGGUUGAUUCAUGUCAAAGAGGGGUGGUGGUGUGGCAAUGCUUGCUUGCUUCUAAAACCAAUUUUUGUUUGACCCACAUAACCUCAAAUCAGGUAGGACUACCCGCUGAACUUAA
rnacentral:misc_RNA from 1 species